AAACUGCUUACUCAUACUUCUACGAGG
rnacentral:piRNA from 1 species